GUGCACCAGGCGAGAAACCUUCGCAAUGCGGGAAACCGCGACGAGGGGACUCCCAGUGCCUACGCUCAGCGUAGGCUGUUCCCGAGCCUAGAAAGCUCGGGGAGUAAGGGCUGGGUAAGACGGGUGCCAGCCGCCGCGGUAAUACCCGCAGCCCGAGUGGUGGCCACUAUUAUUGGGCCUAAAGCGUCCGUAGCCGGCCCGGUAAAUGCCUGGGUAAAUCGUGAGGCCUAACCUCACGAAUUCCGGGUAGACUGCCGGGCUAGGGACCGGGGGAGGGAGAGGGGUACUCCAGGGGUGGGGGUGGAAAUCCUGUAAUCCCUGGAGGACCACCGGUGGCGAAGGCGCUCUCCUAGGACGGGUCCGACGGUGAGGGACGAAAGCCAGGGGAGCGAACCGGAUUAGAUACCCGUGUAGU
rnacentral:rRNA from 1 species